rnacentral:lncRNA from 1 species
GGUCUAUGCUGUAGUUGAGGCAACCUGACAGUGAGGGUCCUGGGGAUGAUCCAAGCAUGGGGUUUUCCCCUCAAUCCACUCUCCAACUCACCCAUCUCUGCAACAACAGCCAUGACCUCUGCCACCCUCGCCUCCCUCUCUACAACAGUUGGAGCAUUCCUUGACACUUCCAUGGUGCCUCAUGUACCAGCUUCCGCAGCACAGUCAGACACUAGGAGGAGACCUAUCCAGAGGGGAGUGCCCUGUCCAGCACUCAGGGGGCAGAGACCCCCUCCCGUUUAGAUGCAAGAGGCUCCUAUACUAAGCAUAGUGAUGGAUUUCAGAAAUGCUUGCUGCGCUAAGUUGAGUCUGCCCUGUUCCUUUAUAUAGGAUAGCAAGGGUAUGUGUCAUUGUCGGAUCAACGUCUAAGCCUUGGGAGCUAAUUCACUUGCCUUUGUGUAGCUGAACCUUGGAUUAAUUAUGUGCAUUCCCUGUUGUGCCUUAACCAGUGAUUUGCAUAUGUAUUGUAGGAAUCUGGAUAUUAAAGCCUUUGAAAAGAAUCCUCCUUCAAGCUCUUGUUCUUCAGCAACUGGGAGCCAGGUGUCAGAGGCAGUUGCCAGGGUCAGGUUACCCAGCUGGUGCCCCCACCACUCCUUUGCAUCCAGCCAGUCCAGGACACAAGGAGUGAACGCUCUUCAUUCAGGAAGGACUGACUUUGAAUUGCAGAGCUCCAGAUACUCUGUGGUUUGGGACUGACGUAAAGUAGGGUUUUAAAAGGAGAGGAAAGGACAGGAGAACUGGGUCCCAGAAGAAAGCACUCGUGGUUUGCUAGGAACGUCAGAAGAUUCCGAUAAAAACAAAAAUGGGAACAGAAAUUGCCAGUGCUUGCCUAUUCAUCCCAUGUCUCCACCCCCUAUCGUUCAGCCUGAACACUGAGGUCCAGCUCCGAGGGCCUUCUGGCGGUUCCCUUGCUGUGAGAUGUCAGGUAACAGGGAACCAGGCAGAGGGCCUUCUCAGUAGUGGCGCCUGCCCUGUGGAACGCCUUCCUGUCAGAUGUCAAGGAAAUAAACAACUAUCUGACUUUUAGAAGACAUAUGAAGGGAAGUUUAGGGAAGUUUUUAAUGUUUGAUGUUUUAUCGUGUUUUUAAUAUUUUGUUGGGAGCCGCCCAGAGUGGCUGGGGAAACCCAACCAGAUGAGCGGGUAUAAAUAAUAAAUUGUUUGUUGUUGUUGUUGUUGAGCGGGGUAUAAAUAAUAAGUUGUUGUUGUUGUUGUUGUUAGGGAAAUCAAUCCUGUGAUAUGAUCAGAGCUCACCAUUAUUGUUGCUUUCAGAGUGUAAACAAUAUGUAAAUGGUGCUCCCCUCCAUUUGUAUUGUGUUUCCUCUGCAUUGAAAUGAAUGGGGUGAAAUGACGUAACAUCAACGUGAUUUCCAUAGUUAAUGACAUAAACUACAUACCACAUCAGACAGAGAGAUGUAUAAUGUUGUUUUUGGCAGAAAACAAAGUGCAGUGAAACAGAAACAGUGCAGUGUGCAAGGAAUACAGGACAAAACAGAAAAUGACGCCUUCUUAUAUACAUAGGGCUUGGGGCCCCAGACCACUUCUGAACAGCAUCCUUGGUUUGUGCCUUCUUGGUGAUUCCCCAUUGUCACUUUUUAAAAAAGAAAAGAAAAUUGUCCCUGCUGAUGACAUUGCUGUUAGCAGUCAAGAAUAAAGAUUGGCAGGGAGGUAUUGCCAUUGCCUGCGGUCCAGCAAGUGUCAAGGCAGGAGAGCACUGUCAGUCUGUAGAGAACAAAUGGAUCCUGUAGUAGAGCCUUAUGACAGCAUACGUGCAAAAGAAACACGUUUGCUCCUUCUCUGUGUUAAUGAAGAGAAAGAGAGAGAUUGAUGGAUUGCAGCCUGCUAAGGAAUGCUCAGGUUAUAUUAUAGCUAUCGAUCCCCAUAAAUAAACAUGUAAGACCAAGCAACAAAUCAUAUAGGUUUUCAUACAAUAUUGUGCAGUGUUCAUGAGGAGACUCUCAAUUUCACUGUUUAUUGAUUAUUUGGAUGUGCUCAUCUUUCUUUCUUUUUGAUUAUUAGAAUAAUUUCUAUGCCUCUUUUCAUUUGCCUGCUUUUGAUGGGGCUACAGUUCUUCUGAAGGAGUAGGUGCAUAGCUUGGGGGUCCUUCUGGGUCCUUUGCUGUCACUUGAGGCUUAAGUGGUCUUGGUGGUGCAGAGUGCCUCCCACAUUCAGUCACUGUAUGCUGCUGACACAAGAAUGGAAAACCGAAGGCAGGCUCUUGAUUUCAGCAAGAAAAACUUCUGCAUGCUCCUGAUUUCCGCAAGAACAAUAUAUACUUCUACACUGCCUUAUCUUGAUUUGUAAUCAAGCAUUCUCUAAUAACAAAGAUUAAUCUGUUCAAACUGUUUCACUGACAGAAUUUGCAUCUCUCUUUUCUUCUCUCUCCUACUGACACCUGGUUAGAAACAAUAGUGCAGGUUGUGAGCACUUGUUUUGCAAAUUUCAAACUGGAAACCAGCUGAGCAUUUUUUACAGAAAUGUGAUGGUUUUUGAUAGAUGUCCAAUGUAAUUGUAGUAAUGUUAUUGUUUAGCUCCAAGCCGAAAGGAACCUAAAUUCCCAGUUGCAGGCGCAAAUAAGGAAACAUGCAAAGUAAUAUAGUUUUCAUAUUAAACAACAACAACAAAAUCAGCAACAACAGAAGAAGAGGAAGAAGAAGAACUUACUCAGAAUAAAGUGGACAUUGAAAAACAUAAUGAAC